GUCUUCGUGGUGUAGAGGUCAGCACACUUGCCGCGUAUUCGAGAGGUCCGUGGUUCGAGUCCUGGCGAGGAUA
rnacentral:tRNA from 1 species